rnacentral:rRNA from 1 species
AGCAGUCGCCGCGGGAAUACGAAGGGUGCAAGCGUUAAUCGGAAUUACUGGGCGUAAAGCGUGCGUAGGCGGUGAGUUAAGUCUGCUGUGAAAUCCCCGGGCUCAACCUGGGAAUGGCAGUGGAUACUGGCUCGCUAGAGUGUGUCAGAGGAUGGUGGAAUUCCCGGUGUAGCGGUGAAAUGCGUAGAGAUCGGGAGGAACAUCAGUGGCGAAGGCGGCCAUCUGGGACAACACUGACGCUGAGGCACGAAAGCGUGGGGAGCAAACAGGAUUAGAUACCCCAGUAGUCCCUGUCUCUUAUAC